ACCCGCUGACGUUUGACUUAGUGUUCAGAUAAUUGUUAGACACCCCGAAGAAGAGUGCCUGGAAAAACUGGUAAUGUCAGGUGAGAGUUGCAUUCCAACCUGAUUGUUUAGGUAUGGCUUUGUAGGAGAUGGUUGCGUAUAUAAGGAGUGCCCUUGUCAGUGAGGAGUUUAGUCAAGAAGAUCCUAACGCAGAGUUGGAAAUGCAGAGUGGAGCAGCCUGGAAAUGCAGAGUGGAGCAGCCUGGAAAUGCGGAGUGGAGCAGCCUGGAAAUGCAGAGUGGAGCAGCAUGGAAAUGCAUCCUAUGCUAGGUGUGUCAGUGAUAUGAAUGUGGCUGAUCCAGCUCUGUGUGGGAGGAGCGGGCCGCCUCCCUGUGCUUCGGAUCUCGGAGGUUUCUGUCUCCCUGGCUGAGUGGUUCUUAACAGUUCAACAGUUCUCUAUCGAAAUUGUGAAAUGUUUAGGACCACUUGAUUUGGGGGACUCUCUCUUCUAAGGGUGCAUGGAAUGGAAACUCCCUCAUCUACGCAUUGCAUUGUGGAUAAAGCCUGGAACCAUCACAGGAAGGAAAUCAAAUGGCUUGUUGGAAGAGUAAUAAAAUAAUAAAUGUCCAGUUAACAUUUCUCAUA